UACGGAGGGGGCUAGCGUUGUUCGGAUUUACUGGGCGUAAAGGGCGCGUAGGCGGCACUGUUAGUCAGGCGUGAAAUUCCUGGGCUCAACCUGGGGACUGCGCUUGAGACGUGUGGGCUUGAGUGGGGAAGAGGGUCGUGGAAUUCCCAGUGUAGAGGUGAAAUGCGUAGAUAUCGGGAGGAACACCUGUGGCAAAAGCGGCUCUCUGGACCACAACUGACGCUGAGGCGCGAAAGCUAGGGGAGCAAACAGG
rnacentral:rRNA from 1 species